CUCGAGAAAGAAGGAAAAAAUUGGCAUGAUCUGUUCGAUCUACUACAGUGCCUUCGUCCGUCAGGUGCGGGACAAGGGGAUCGAACUCCUAACCUGGGCUCUGUUACGAGCAACAACUACCACCGAGCUAGCAUCAGGAAUGAAUUACCUCCAUUGAGGGCAUGUAUAUGAACGAGGGACAAGGCAAAUGGACGCCGGAACCGCAUAUACAUAUGAACAAGGCGGGAUUCAGGAAGGAAAAGA